rnacentral:lncRNA from 1 species
CUCCUCUUGAAGCUGGCCCCUAGGACUUCAGAGCUGUUACUCAUCCCUCUUUCUCCAUGUAUGUAGAAGUUUCUCUAAGAUCUAAAAGCUCCUUACAAGCCUGGAUGAACUUCAUUAUUUCCAUUUCACAGACAAGGAAAAAUGAGGCAAAAUGAGCUGGAGUGACUUGUUCAAGACCAUUCAAAUGAUCAGUGACAGAGUUAAGAAUAGAGCCUCAAAUCCCUUGACUCCCCAGUUCUAUGCCCUGUCUGGGAGAUGGGCUGUCCCCAAGGAAAGUUGAAAGGAUACAAUAGAGAGGCACAGGGGAACCUACUUAGAUGGAAACAUAUAGCAAAACAAGGAGACUCCAGCAUAUUCCCAGAGGGUGCUGCUCAGUCAGCUCAGAGCCUGGCAGCUGCGCCACAACGCUGUCCAGGACCGCCUCGUGCGGGCCAUCCUGGCCGUGGCGGGGGAGAUCUCCAUGAACUGCACCGUCCCGGGCUGCGAGAGCCAGCUGCGCCCCGACAUCGUCGUCACGGACCACGAGGCCAAGAAGAUCGUGACGGUGGACGUUACCAUCCCCUUCGAGAACCGGCGCCAAGCCUUCACCGAGGCCCGGGCUCGCAAGCGGGAGAAGUACGCCCCGCUGGCCGACACCCUGAGGAGCCGCAGCUACGACGUGACGGUGGACGCGCUCAUCGUGGGGACGCUCGGAUCCUGGGACCCCAGCAACGAGAGCGUCCUCCGCGCCUGCCACGUUUCCCGCCGCUACGCCAAGCUGAUGCGCUGCCUCAUGGUGUCCAACACCAUCCGCUGGUCCCGCGACAUCUACGUGGAGCACAUCACAGGCCACUGCCAGUACAUCGACCCCUCCAGACCAGCCGCCACCGGACCGGACCCAGAGGACACCGCCGCCUGAACCGCCCCCCCACCACUUCGCUUCAUGUCGAGAGGACUUCGCUGCCACGGACGACCCCGCCCCACCUGAAGAGGACCCCCGCGAUUGGACUCUAUGGACUGAGACGCUCACUUGGAGCCACUUCCUUCAACAUCGCGGACCACUAUAAUGGGUACGUGUGUAUCUAUCUCCUUUCCCUCUCAGCGUCGUGACCCCCCCUCCCCCUUCCACAUCCCCCCACCCCCAGGCUUAGUUGGCUAACAUUGUAUGGUAUGUAACCUAGUCGCGUUCCCCUCCUCUCCCCCAUCCCUCGAUUGUUAGUCCCUUGCUCGGGCGCUUUGUAUUUCCAUCUCAACUUUGUCAUCUUUUUCCUGGAUUCCCCAUCCAAAACAUCUACUAAU